rnacentral:lncRNA from 1 species
CACCACCACCAUAUGAGUAGGAAGACCCAAAUACACAAGGUAUCUAUUUGAUCAGUUUUUUUAAAUUAUUUGUUGUUAUUUUCAAAUAAAAUUGAAAAUAAAAAUGGGGAAUAUGUCAGAGACAGCCCGAUAAAACAGCCGGGGGUCACCAAAGGAUCUUCAAAGCAGCGCGAAAAUCACAGACCCGGAGCAGGGCCUCAGAUGGCUCCGAAAUAAAAAUCUGUAGUAGUUCAGUGAAGUGGACGUCAUACAAAACUCUUAAAGAAAUAAAUAAACUAAAAAUUAAAAAAACAUACAUAACUAACAAAGGUCAGGGUCUCCCUACUUGGGACAGGCGCAAAAAAAAAAACGGCGGGGUUAAACAUGUUUUGUGAUAUCUCAAUCCUCAUUUGUACAUCUAGCCAGUGAAGAAUAAAGAAACACAAAGCAAUACGCACAGUAAAACUCGAGUUUAAAAGAAGUCUGAGUUCAAUGUCAGAAUGGGUAACAAAAAAAAUAAUAAAAUGACAAUGAUACAUAAAUUAACAAAGGACUACUAGCAGUAACUGACAUUCCAGCUCCAGAUCUUAAUUUAACUGUUUGAAAGAUUAUGACUUCAGUAUCAUACCAUCAAAAAAUAAUUGAGAGGAACAUAACACGUAACAUGCCAGCAACUGAUUUUGGAAUAAAUGUAGGUUUUUUUUCGAUGCGAAGACCCUACGUGUAAAUCUAUAUUGAUACUUAAUAUGCCAUUCUUAAUUAUCUGACAACAGUAUCCCUUCUGAAUAAGUCUGUUUAAACGUUUGGUUAAUUUUUGUAUCGUAAAGUAUAUUUUCCAGUCUCAAAAUGUUACAAACAACAAAAUUUAUUAAAAAGAUCAUGCAUUUUUAAUGUUCUGGUAGUUAAUUUAUAGUCAUCACCUUUAUAUUUCAGAUUUACUUUAGGAAUUUUUAAUCACCGCUUUGUUGCCAAGUCACAGCUUAUUUGAUUCAAACGGCAGGGCUUUAUUUGUUUUGUAUGUCUUUAAAAUUCGUUAGGGGACGACCAUUUGAUAUUCUAGGGGGACCAGAAGGAUUUUGAAAAUAAAAAACUCAGCCUUGAUAAUCAUAAAAAUAAAUGGUUUGUUCUGUAGUAGUUUGAAAAUAAAUUACCUGACUUGCAAUGUAUAGAAAAUAAAUAACUCAGCAGGUCUAAUCAAAAGUAUGAGAUGGCACCAGAUUCUUCAUAAAUUCAUCUUUUUCCCCAAAAAAAUCGGGAAACACUUCCAAAAUUUUUUUUAUAAACAAAGUAUAAAUAUUAUAAAAAUAUACUUGAAAUGUCUGAAAAUUGGUUUCAUUUUACUUGAGGUAUAUUGUCCCAGGAAACCUUACCUCACUUUUAUUUUAACAGGGCCGUAACUACAUGUAGGAAAUUUCAAAACCAAAUGCUUGUCUCCAUAUGAAAUUGGCAAGAAGAAAAUUCUGUUUUCCCUCAGACUAAUAGCCCUGAUUUUUCAGGAUCAAUGUUUCUUAUUUAUUUGUCUGUUGUUCAUUGAUUGCCCUUCUGUAUUCUGUUAGUGUUGUAUUCUUUUUGUAAUCUAGUAAUUUUGUUAUAAAGUUGAUCAUGAGUUUUAAAAAAGAACAGCAGCCACAGACUUAACUAUGUGAAUUCCAUUUUUCAAGUGCUUUAUCAUGCACAUUGGUCUUUUGAUGUUGUCCCUAGAAACUUCAGUCUUACGCUGAAUUUAUACAUUUUGCUUUGAGAUCAAAAUAUGGUCAAAAAAUUAUUAAAAUAAAACUUCAUUUUGAGAUUAUGAAAGGGUCUUCGGAACACCCAGAAAGCAUGAUUUUGCAUAAUUUGUUCUAUAGCUUCUUGGGCCUUCAGUGGCUCCAUAACCCUUCAAAAAAAUUUAGUAGUAUUUCUGCCAAUACAUUUAAAAGUGCCUAGUUAUAACUUAACUAUCCCCAGAAUAUCAAAUGGUCGUCCCCUUAAUAGUAAAAACAGUCAUUUGUUGACUGAUGUUAGUAAUUUCCCUUUUGCGGUAUGUUUUACUUUAAAUACCAUUAAUAACCCCCGGACACAAUGUUUAAAUAUGUAAAAUUGAGAGUGAAGCUAUAUCCACUCGUCCUGGUGUAGGGGUAUGAAUUGAAGCUUUAUAUGUUAAGGUCUUGAGUUUGAUUACCGGCAUAUGCACUGAAAUUUGGUGAUUUUUUUUUCCACAUAGAAUUUAAAAGUAAGUUUUUAAUCCGCAUAAAUAUUUCCAAGUUUAUUGUGUUUUUAAAGAUAUCGCCAAAAUAUUACAGAACAAAAGAAAGCAUGUAGAAUUUUAACAAAAUCACUGUAUGGUGAUCUGGUUCGGGUGAUCAGACUCAGGUCACCCUUAUUAAGUCAUAAUAGUGGGGAUGUAAACUAGAUUCCUUUUUCGUGUCCAGUUUAUAAAAAUCCAAGUUCAAUAGCUAAAACUGUCACCAAUGACGACAAAAAUGUUAUGACCCUGACCAUUACAUCAUAUAGUCAAGAUCCGAAAAUAAUCAUUAGUAUAUAAGUCAAAAUAACUUGACAUGUGCCCCUCCCCCUAAAAAAAUUAAACUAAAAAAUCAUUAUUUACCAGCAACAUCUUCAAACUAAGUAACAUGUAUAAACUUAAUUUUGAAUAACUAUUGUACCAUUAAAAUAACGCUCUGAUUCGAGGGGGCGUUUUCUGUGUUAUUCAACAUUGCCUGCAUUGGUAAAAUAUGUAUAUUUUUCAGGAUUAAGUUGCUAUCAUGGACGCUGACGAUUAUUACAAAAAUAGAAAACUGUUUUAAAAAUCAUGUACCCAUAUAUAUUUUGUUUAGUAGUUGCUAGUACUUGUAAAACUAACAAUGUUCUCUACCAUUGUGUUAUAUGCGUUUUAUUUUACCCCAAAACAAACUUUCCACUAUGUGCUUGCUACUAUAACAAAAGUCAUUCCAUUUUUUUCAAUUAAGUUUAUAAAAGAGGGUUACUUUAACUUAUAACUCACCUACAAGUCCUAAUGAGCUCUUGGCGUUCAUCGUUGUUGGUAGUCGUUUUCCGUUUACGUUUUACAAAAAUUUACAUAAAACCAAGGGCUAAAUAAAAUCAAACAUGUCCACAAUCAUUAUUGAGUAUCUAGUUUUAAAAACGCGUCCGAUGACCCUUCCUCCGAAACAACAUUUCCGACAUGAUUUAGUGUAAAAAUAGAACAUGGAGGUAAAAUGCAAGACAUGAUCUACAAAUUAGCAUUAACACAUCAGUCGUCUCCUUAUUGAAGUUCUUGCCCUCUGAUAACGAUAUUUACUUUUUUUGUUUUUUUGUCUUAUAUCUUAAAAACCAUAAUAAAUAGAUAGAAACUCGAUUCAGCAAAAACGAUCAUCAAGACAACAUCUACAAGUAAGGCAACAUAACUGAAAUUUUCAAUUAAAUGGUGUGUAGCUCUUUAAAGACAUAAUAGAUACAGAGAAAUUUAGUAUAGCAUAAAUGAUCAGCAAGACCUGAUUUAUAAACAUUCCUUAAUUUGUCCUGAAUGGUAUUUUAAUCCACAGUGUUAGAGAGAGUCUAUAGAGAGAGUCUAUUGAUGAAGAUGUGCAUAGACCUAAGUGAGCGACACAGGCUCAUUUUCAACCGUGCAAGGACUGUAUAGCCAGUCCAGGUCCUUAAGAACUACCAUCAUCCGACUCUUUGGAGCUUAUUUUAGUCAUUUAUUCUGCUAACUUCGUUCAACUUCCUUCUGUUUUUAUUCAUAAAGUAAGACAAAUCUCGCAGAAUUGUUUUCUUUUUCUUAUUUCACAAGAAACUCAGUAAUAAACACGGCUAGUAUUGUGUCACUUAAAAUCGUUUUUAAAUGAUACCUGCUGCUUUUAUUCUUUUUUAUUCUUUAAAAUUUAUUGUUUUUUGUAAUAAAUCAUUCGGUAAAGUUGUAACAAUUCAUAUUGCAUGAAUUUUUAUUUAUUUUCAAGAAUAUGAAAUAAGAGCAACUUUUAAAAUCCCGAAUCUAAUAAAAUAGCACACAAACUAUAUCAAGUUUUUUUUUAUAUUAUACUUGUUCAAUUGAAAAGGCUAAAGAAAAGAUAUAUUAUAUAUUUCAGUAGAUCAAAUUCGCAUUCUUCCAUAAUUAAGAAAUUUAGGUAAACAGUUAUAUAUUAUACACACAAUAGCCUUGAUUUAACUUUCUGAUUUGUUUGAAUGGUUUAUGGUGGGUUUUUUUUUAUAUUGCCACAUUUGUAUAUAAAUUCGAUGUCAUUUAGGAAUUUUAUUAAAACACUUUUAGUCACAUUUCAUGUUUGUAAUUGUGUGUUUAUCUUUGAAUUAUAAAUAUAUUCGGAGUUCCUUAUUUUAUAUCAGUUUUAAAGCGUGUUCAAAUGACCUUCUAAUGAAAGUCCUGUGAGCUCCAAUUUAAAAGAAGUAAAGGAUUCAGCAAUUGAUGAAAGCAAACAUCCCCUAUUUGAUGUUCAUGUUGAUUUCAUUUUGGAUCGAUGGCUUAAGUCUGAAAUCAGACCUUUUUACUUUGCCUAUGAUUGUGUUGCAAAGCCACAUAAAUACCAACUGGCGUUUCUAAUUUUUGAACAAAUUCAGAUAUUUACGGAAAUGUA